rnacentral:lncRNA from 10 species
GGAGGACAGAAGAAGACACAGUGAGACAGGCCACGAGACAGCGUCAGCUUGAGACAGAGAAACACGAAGAGGGGCAGACAGAAAGGGACAGAGACAUUCUCAGAGAGAUAGCUUCAGAGACAAAGAGAAAGCCAGAAGCACUGAGCCAUAUUCAGAUUCAGAAGGAGACAGAGAAGGUAGAGAGGGAGAGAGACCACAGAGAUUUGGAGUAACAGAGGCAGGGCAGACUGACACGAGAACAGAAUCAGGAGAGACCAAGACAACGAGAAGGAAACCAACGUGGACGCGGCCGGGAAGAACGCAGGCGACCCGGGCGAAGCCGGGAACUGAGCCCACCCGCGCGGUGAUCCAUUCCUAGUCUGGCUGGGGGACUGCGUAGAGAAGGAACCUGAGCCGUCGAGAUUUCACUCCUAAGCCUGGGCUUGGGGACAGGGGUUCGCCCUGGACACUGCGGGAGGGUGCGGGAUGGGGCUCCGUGGGGAUUUGCCUAGAGGCAGGGGAUGCCCCAAAUGACCCCUGUAGGGCCCGCCCCCAGGCAGCCACCUCGGCAGCACCCUCCUUUCCUAUGCGCCCUGGGGCCUCUUCAGCUCUAGAGACAGGAGGAUGACUCAACACAGGUUUCACUCAGGAAGGAGGCGCCCCCACCCCCACCCCCUCUCACGUCGGACUCGGCUGCAGGGGGAAUGGCAGGUUCUUCCCGGAGGCCAGCGGCGCGCAGCCCCACGGCCCGGGCAGGGCGAGCGGGUGCCCGGCGCGGCGGAGAGUCCCGGGCGCCCUUCCCGCGCGCGCCACCGCGCAGCCCCGCCGGAGGGCCGCGGGCAGCCUCGGCAGAGAAAAUUACAAGAAAAAAAAAAUCAAACCAGGAGCGCUUUAAAACACACAAAGAGUAGCCCUCCCUCCACCCAGCUUCAUUCCACACCCCAUCCACCUCUCACACUCCCCCACCCCUUUUUUAUUUUGGUCUCCAAACUUGAGCCUCAUUAAUUUCCAAAAAAAAUUUCCCCCAAUAAAAGGCAAACAUGGAAAGAAAAACAAACUAUUAGAAAAUAGAGGAGGGAGGAAAUGUUAUUUAAAAGGUUAGCAGACCGCAUCAUUUUCCAAUGAUAUUAUAUACUCCCAGCAGUAUCCAAAAUAUAUAUGGGCCCUGGGCCAAGAAUGU